GCCCGGAUGGCGGAACAGGUAGACGCAAGGGACUUAAAAUCCCUCGAUCCUUAGUGAUUGUGCGAGUUCGAUUCUCGCUCCGGGCACCA
rnacentral:tRNA from 1 species